rnacentral:rRNA from 1 species
AGAGUUUGAUCCUGGCUCAGGAUGAACGCUGGCGGCGUGCCUAACACAUGCAAGUCGAACGGAGUUACUAGAGCUUGCUUUGGUAACUUAGUGGCGGACGGGUGAGUAAUGUAUGAGCAACCUGCCUUUCAGAGGGGGACAACAGUUGGAAACGACUGCUAAUACCGCAUAAUGUACGUUGGGGGCAUCUCCGAUGUACCAAAGGAGCAAUCCGCUGAAAGAUGGGCUCAUAUCUGAUUAGUUAGUUGGCAGGGUAACGGCCUACCAAGACUGCGAUCAGUAGCCGGACCGAGAGGUUGAACGGCCACAUUGGGACUGAGAUACGGCCCAGACUCCUACGGGAGGCAGCAGUGGGGAAUAUUGGGCAAUGGGCGAAAGCCUGACCCAGCAACGCCGCGUGAAGGAAGAAGGCUUUCGGGUUGUAAACUUCUUUUGCCAGGGACGAAGGACGUGACGGUACCUGGAGAAAAAGCCACGGCUAACUACGUGCCAGCAGCCGCGGUAAUACGUAGGUGGCAAGCGUUAUCCGGAUUUACUGGGCGUAAAGGGAGCGUAGGCGGAUAUUUAAGUGGGAUGUGAAAUACCCGAGCUUAACUUGGGAGCUGCAUUCCAAACUGGAUAUCUAGAGUACUGGAGAGGGUAGUGGAAUUCCAUGUGUAGCGGUAAAAUGCGUAGAUAUAUGGAGGAACACCGGUGGCGAAGGCGGCUACCUAGACAGAGACUGACGCUGAGGCACGAAAGCGUGGGGAGCAAAUAGGAUUAGAUACCCUAGUAGUCCACGCUGUAAACGAUGAAUGCUAGGUAUCGGGGCGACCCGGUGCCGAAACUAACGCGAUAAGCAUUCCGCCUGUGGAGUAUGCACGCAAGUGUGAAACAUAAAGGAAUUGACGGGGGCCCGCACAAGCGGUGGAGUAUGUGGUUUAAUUCGACGCAACGCGAAGAACCUUACCAGGCCUUGACAUCCCUUGCGAAAUCCUGGAGACAGGAGGGAGGCUAUCAAGGAGACAGGUGGUGCAUGGUUGUCGUCAGCUCGUGUCGUGAGAUGUUGGGUUAAGUCCCGCAACGAGCGCAACCCCUAUUGUUAGUUGCUACGCAAGAGCACUCUAGCGAGACUGCCGUUGACAAAACGGAGGAAGGUGGGGACGACGUCAAAUCAUCAUGCCCCUUAUGUCCUGGGCUACACACGUAAUACAAUGGCGUCCAACAAAGGGAAGCAAAGCCGCGAGGCAGAGCAAAUCCCCAAAAGACGUCUCAGUUCGGAUUGCAGGCUGCAACUCGCCUGUAUGAAGUCGGAAUUGCUAGUAAUCGCGGAUCAGCAUGCCGCGGUGAAUACGUUCCCGGGCCUUGCACACACCGCCCGUCA